UUUGCAGGAGGGCCAGGAAGGGGCUCCGACCAUCUGUUCACUCUGUGGAGGGAGUUUUCCCCAGGAGGCCGUCUGGCCUGUCUAAUAACUGCAGUAUGAUCAUGAGAGGGAAAUACACCCCUUAGCAGCCAGUCAAGGUCUCUACGUAUGGGGUUACAGAUGGCCAAUGAUCUCUCCAACUAUUCUCUGAACUUGCCACAUCAAUAACAUCCUUCCCUAGCACAUCCAGCAGUGGCAAAGGAGCCCCUGCAUUGCCAGUAAGCAUGGCAAGAAAAUGCUUGAGCACAUCCACCACGAGCAGCAGAACACCUAUACUUGCCUGAAGGACAUGGAGUGCCAUUUCCAUGAACUUGAGGCCAUCAUUCUGCAUGGCAAACAGCAGGCUGUGUGCACAGAUUGAUUACUAGGCGAGAGGGCAUUGGUGAGGUAGAGCUUAAAGGUACCUGGCCUCUGGUCCUGUCCUCCCCAUCCUAUACUGCUUCCCUGGUCCCUCCAUUGUCCUGUGCAGAGCAACAAAGGUGAAAAGGGCAGCAAAGACCUGCAGAUCUUUUGUGUCUCCUGCGGGCGGCCCAUCUCUAAGCGUGUUGCCUUGCACCACAUGCAGCACUGCUUUGCCAAGGUUGGAACAUUGGCUAGGAGUCAGAUGGGACAAAGGUGUUUUUGGUUGGGUGGGGUGGCACAUGGGUGGGGUCCAUGUGGUGGGGGCAGAUUUGGCGCCUGGAUAUUUGUUAUAGGAGGAAUGCAAUACACAUCCAUGGCUUCCCCUGUGUGUGCUCUUCCCCCAUGCCCAGUAUGAAAGGCAAGGUCAGGGCAUUAACCAGUGGUGAGGGGGACACUGGCUGUGCAGACGGGAGCAUAGGGUCUGCAGGGGACAACCGACCUGGUGUUUGGAGCUUUAUUGUAGGAGGACAUGCAGCAUAUAUCCACAGUUCCUCCCAUUUGUGCUCUUUCUUCCCCAGUACGAGUGCCAAUUGUCUGUCGGGUCCCUGUACCCUAUUUGCAUUGAAAGGGCCACGUGGCUCUUCUGUGAUGUCUACAAUCUGAAGAGUAAGAGGUACUGUAAGCGCCUCCAGGUGCUGUGUCCUGAGCACUCUUGGGACCCCAAGGUCCACAUACAGAAAGAGAGGAAUUGUGCCUCAGAAGCUGUACUUAAUGGAUGACAUCCAGGAGCCUCAUCUGCACCUGGACCUAAUAUGGUGAUAAAAUUUUAGGCUUGGAGCUGAUACUGUAAUCAGGUGAGCCUUUUGGGACCUUGGAAUGGGGUGAAUGUAUUUUGCUUGUGAGAGGGAUAUAAAGCAUUGGUGGUCAGAGGAAGACUCUGGUGGACACACACUAAGGUGAUCCAUAGUGAGUCACACAAUCUUGUAUAAUUUCCUCUCCUUGGGUGCAGGUAGAAUCUCUGUGACUUGUUUCUAACAAAUAGAAUAUGGCAAAGGUGAUGGGAUAUCACUCCCUUGAUCAGGUUGUAUUACAGUCAAAGAUGAUAUGAUGUAACUCCCAUGAUUUCAUUACAUUAUCUAACACUCUGCUGUAGUAGACUGACACAAGAGAUUCUCCUUACUGGCUUAAUGAGGUAAGCAUCUAUAUUGAGGAAACCCGCAUGGCAAGAAACUGCAGGCAGCCUCUAGAAACCAUGGGUGGCCUCUUCGAUUUGAAGGUAGCUUCCAGCUGACAACCAGUAAGAAGCCAGGGCCCUCAGUCAUGUAGCUGCAAGAAAAUAAAAUCUGCCAAUGAUGUGAAUGAUCUUGGAAGUGGAUUAUUCCCCAGUCAAGUUUCCAGAUGAAAAUAUAGCCUGGCUGACACCUUGUGAGAUCCUGAACAGAGGACUUAGUUAAGCUAUGCGUGAACUUUUGACACACAGAAACUGUGAAAUAAUAAAAGUGUGUUGUCUUAAGCUACU